rnacentral:rRNA from 1 species
AUACGUAGGGGGCGAGCGUUGUCCGGAAUUACUGGGCGUAAAGAGCUCGUAGGUGGUUUGUCGCGUCGUCUGUGAAAUUCCGGGGCUUAACUCCGGGCGUGCAGGCGAUACGGGCAUAACUUGAGUACUGUAGGGGAGACUGGAAUUCCUGGUGUAGCGGUGAAAUGCGCAGAUAUCAGGGGGAACACCGGUGGCGAAGGCGGGUUGCUGGGCUGUAACUGGAGCUGAGGAGCGAAAGCGUGGGUAGCGAACAGGAUUAGAUACCCUGGUAGUCCAUGCCGUAAACGGUGGGCGCUAGGUGUAGGGGUGUUCCCCGGCUUCUGUGCCGUAGCUAACGCAUUAAGCGCCCCGCCUGGGGAGUACGGCCGCAAGGCUAAAACUCAAAUGAAUUGACGGGG